rnacentral:rRNA from 1 species
UACGUAGGGUGCAAGCGUUGUCCGGAAUUAUUGGGCGUAAAGAGCUCGUAGGUGGUUUGUCGCGUCGGCUGUGAAAAACUCGGGGGCUCAACCCCGAGCCUGCAGUCGAUACGGGCAGACUUGAGUGCGGUAGGGGAGACUGGAAUUCCUGGUGUAGCGGUGAAAUGCGCAGAUAUCAGGAGGAACACCGGCGGCGAAGGCGGGUCUCUGGGCCGUAACUGACACUGAGGAGCGAAAGCGUGGGGAGCGAACAGG